AUCCAGAUGAGGAGUCCUGGAUAGGACGAAGUGCAUAUCCUGGAU
rnacentral:hammerhead_ribozyme from 1 species